rnacentral:lncRNA from 1 species
CGAGACUCAAUCAUUUAUCUACAGACAUGCUCUGGCUUUGAUAAUUGAAUGAAAGAUAUCAGGGUCUAGUUCAUCAAAGUUUCAACACGCAGCAUCCACCAUCCUUUACACAGCCAAAAACAUUUGACCUACGAGUACAGCAUCUACUACAAACUAUAAAGAAGGAAAAGGAAGUCCUAGAUAUUCACUACAUAGUAUCUCUUUGUAUAUACUUCACCUUCUGUUUUUUUAUUCAGGAGGCCGGAUUUUCAAGCCUCAAGUUUCUUCAGUGAUGGUACUCAACUGUUUUUCCCGUUUGCCCGUCGCCGGCAGCGACGACAGGGGCGGGCAGUCUGCCUUCCAAGCACUCUCGCAGGAUCAAGGGGCCAAGCUCCCUGUGGCCUCGGCUUGGAUCGACUCGGGACAUCAGCUCCCUCAGCUGGGUCCGUGUCAUUCGCACCUUGACUCGGACGUGGGGCCUCGGCUGCGCCCGAGGGUGCACCUGCGGUUUCUUCCCCAGCCAGUUCCCCAUCUCCGUUAUGGAGUUGUCGUCAGUGAGAACGCGGAUGGAAGAAGACCAAGAUUCUGAUCUUGAACGCGCGAGGAAGGGGGCUUUUAGCAGAACGACUUCUUCUUCUCUUUGAUUUAACUUAUUUAACAGCAGGAUAUUUACAAUGGGCGCAAAGGAAACGACGAAAUCACGACAAUGGUCCUUGUACUCUUCGGCCGAAUAUCGUGAUUUUUAAUCUAGAUCUUAGUUUCUGGCCCAUGACGGUUGUCGCACCUCCUUCCGUUGGAUUUGACCGUUCGAAAUGCCAAGUUGGCCGGCGGAUUUCUUGCGUGUUCGGCCUAUCUAGAGAGAGCACGCUUUAC